UCAGCAGCCUCCAAAGUCUGUAAAGUGGAAAAUUGGGCUCUCUCCAAAAACUGCUGUUGGCAGAGUCGAUUCCUCAAUGAUGAAUGUGGUUACUUGCUGAAUUUUCAGUGACAAUCCAUGAAAUGCACUGUACUGGGAUGUACUGACAAUGCCAUAACUGAAAAUACUCCAAAGACUGAAGUGGAACUCCCUCCUGUGGUGUGACUGAGCAGCAUCACAGCCAACACUUCUGGCAGCUUGUAUUUCAGUCUCUAUUCACCUCUUCAAGUUUCAAGUCUACUAUGGAAACUUCUCUCCCAAGGUAAAAGUGUCACAAGAAAUUUUUAAAAUACAUACAAAGUUGUAAACAUCUUUCUCUGGAACGAAAAUAAAAAAAAAUGGUUUGUGCCAGCCUUCUCCAUCUCGCACAUUGCAUUCAAGAAACAAUGGUAAUAAAAUGAAAAUAGGGCCAAAGACCAAGGCUGUAGACUAAAAUUGUGUCUGCAGGGAUAACAUCACAGUUUACAGGAAGUGUUGAGUAUCAGCAUUGAAAAUCAGUCACCAGCAGGCAGCAGAACCCAUCUUCAAGAAAGCUCAUGGAACACUCAACUUCCAGUGAUGAAUCAGGCACUAAAUAUUAGAUUUCCCUACUUGUAAGGACAAAAGCUUAAAUUACAUCGAGAUACUAUGUUUGAUAAUAGCUAAAAUUGACURCAAACAGAAAAUUAAACACUGAUACUUCUGCAAGUUUGGGGUUUGACCAUUUCUGCUAUCAGGUUUAUACAGAUUUUCCAUGAAGAGGGAAGAAAUUUGCAAAACAGAUUAUAAAUAUAUAGAGAUCACAGAAAUAAAGUGGAUCUUUUCAAAGCAGAUUUUUUUUGUGGAAGUCCCUCUGGUCAAAAUGUUUUGGCUUUUCAACUUACUUCAUCAUCAACAAUGAAAUAACCAUYUCAGUCUGAAUCUUGUAUCACUAAUUCCAAAAAGACUCAGAUAAUUGAGAUUUUGGGAUGCAGUAGAGGAUUAAUUUCAAAGUACAAUAGGAUUUGCUUASUGCAGGCUGGUAAAGGAUAGCAUUAUUCUAGCACUUCAGUACUUUUCACACUGUCAGCAGAUUGAUAUCUAUGAUCUUGUAAUUUAAAUAGGAGAUUUGUUCAUGAGWAUCAGUAUUUUCACAGGCAACAUUUGGUUUAUUUCAGAUUUCUAUCAAAUGCAGCUCUUCCUUGAGGAUUAGUAGCUCUGCAGUCUAAAAAGGGGUUUUCCCCCUCAGUUACUGACUGUGCAUCACAGAAACAAGUGUCAGAACACAUUUUAUUGUGCCUUCUUAGGGAAAAGAAAGUUUCAAAAUAUUCAUGUGAAUUUACUUUUAAUUUUUUGAAAAGUUACACUCUCUAAGUUCAGACAUUAAUGUAUUUUGUAAGCCCCAAAUUCUACUGCAAUUCUCAGCUGACAGAGGUAUCACAAAUUCAAAGUAAAUAUUGGAUUUUAAAUAAAGCAGCUGUUUUGAAGAGAAAAAAAGCAGAAAUACAUCACACUGACUACCUAUUUCUCUGUCAGUACACUCCAAUGAAAGACUAUGGACUCUUACAUCUCUACAUGGUUUCUGUCUAUUUGUUGUGCAUAAUUAAUUACAGGGCAAUGUUUCUGAGGUGGAACAAAGUAUCAAAUAUGCUUAUGCUAAAAAUUCUAGGGAGAGCAAUACAUGUAAGACCAGGCCAUAAAAACAAAAGGAGCACCCUGACAAUAAGAUUAUAUAUUAAUAGAGUACAUACAGGCUUGCUUCUUCCAAAAAUUAUAUGUGUAUACCUUCAGAGGCAAAGGUGGAGAGAAGGAAAAGGAAGCAAACUUUGGCRAAGUUUAAGAAAGUGCAGUCUUUGUACUCCUAAAAAUAACUUYAAAAAAAAAGAGAAACCACAAAUGAAACAAAAGAACAAACCGCCAAACCUCAAACAGCAACAAAACCAAACCCAACACUGMAAAAGCAAAAGGUUAAAAAACGUCUACAGCUGGAACUGUCUCCUGUGCAGGACGAUGCAGACACACGAUUGCUAAGAUUGCACUGGCUAAAACCACACAGARAAGUAACACCACCAUCUCUACUGCAUUUUGCACUGCAAAGGAAGAAACAAGCAUUUGCAUAAGCAUCCCAACAUCAUACUGUGGUAAAACACUUUUUAUCUACAUGCAGAGCUCUGUGCAUACACAUUUAAAAGUAUAUUUUCUUUUCAAAGCAGUACACCAUAUAGUAAAUUUUCACUCAAGUGUAGCUACUAGGCAAUUCUCUAAAUAUUGAGUAUUUUCUUACUUGUUUCCUAAUGGCAGAAAUAAAACUCUGAUAUGUAGUACAGGAAGGAUCUGGACACUAAUGAGUGAAAUUUUAGAAAGCACAAGUUGUUUAGUAGAACCCUGACAUUUUGCUUAGAAAUAACCUCUUUCUAGGGCAGGAUGAGAGACAAAAAUACAGAAAUACRAAGGCAACUCCUGGUUGAGUAUAAAGGUCCCUUACCCCUACUAAGAAUGUUAUUUUUCUGUACUAUAAUAAUCAUCUGAGGCAGUCUCAGCCCUAACAGCACAUUAACUCAAAAAGUUUUCCACGUUGGRUGUAGUGAAGCCAUGAAACUCCACACAAAAGGGUUGUUGGCCAAGACACCUUCCAUCUUUUGAGAUGAGUUAAAAUCAAAACAUCUGCAGGAAGAGAACAGGCCUAAACCAUAUCGUGUUAGAUGUAUCUAUAGUUCCAAAGGAUGGAUGCCAUCCUUCAGGUUCCCUAUUCUCCCUCCAGACAGGAAAAGCCAUUUAUUUAAACGUUGUYUCUGUCAGGGCAGACAGUUCCAUUAGUGCAAGAACARCUUUYCAUCCAUGGCCACCCCAGGCUUAAAGUGCAGUACAUUACGUGAGAUUUUAACAUACCAAACUAUCCUUUAUUUGAAUUUCAGAAGGAAUGUUCAAGUUAAAAUUACCUUUUAGGUUUUACGCAAUAAAAUUCAAGGCAAGGUACAUAAACUAUCUUAAAAUUGAUUAAAUCCRCUCAUUUAAGACAUAUUCUUUGUAUCUUAUGUUCAAUAUACAUAUAAUACACAACAAGCAUCCAUCAUUUCACUUAGCUGUAUUGUAUUUAGAGUGAUCCUGUAAUAAGUGAUGAAAGGCCACRGACUGAAACAAGAUUUUGCUUAAAAAAAACUGUAUUAGCUGGACUGUGACACCUAACACAAUUCAACAUUCUGAGAUCUCCUGGAUAGGCUUGUCAUUGAUCAGGAGCAAACCCUGGCACUCUGCUGUACACACAUUUAAAUUCUACUUUACUGGUGGUGUGUCUCACAUUUCAUUCGUCCCCCAUCCCUUAAAAUCACCAUGAAAAGCAGGWGCAUUAAAAACUGGAUUGGUGCUUUUGUGCCUUUAGCUACUCCUGCUGCCUGUUAACCUGACAAUCUCAGCACAAGUUCUUGUGUAGAACUGUGGUUCCCAAAACAUGCAGUUCCCAAAUGACAAACAGCAGAGAAUGUUCCAGGCCCAAGCAGUCAGCUGCACAAACAAGGUCUCAAGUGACAACUGCAGGAACAGCUGUGCCAAUUGAUCCUUUGUGCAGGAAGCCCAAGCACUCGAGUUUUGGGUGCAGGACUGUGUUCAUGCACAGCUUAAGGCUCACCAUACAGGGAGAGUGUGGCUUUACCUAUGGAGCUGCUUAGAGUUGAACAUGGAGUUGCACAAUGCUGUCUUUAGCAAUCAAGCCAGCUUAAACAAGCUCCAACYCUUCCCUGCCUUCAUUCCUCUGCCCUCAGCUCUGCCAAGUGUUUCUUUGGGUCAAGACACAGGCAGASAGCAGCUUAACACCGUAACUCCAAGUCACAGACUUCUGCAGAAGUGAUUUUGUUUCUGGAAUUUCAGAUCCACAUCACUUCAAGAAUCUUGACCCUCUGCAAUACCCAGUGUUAACUCGUGUUAGUACCACUCACUGCAAGGCUGAUAAAUUCCAGACUGAAUGCUUGACUUCCAGGGAACUGUUGUUGUCAGAGUAAUUACUUACAAUACAUAAUCCAGUAUUAUUCUGGGGCUUUCAGUCACUUUGUGACAGGUAAUUGCAUGGUCAAAAGUCUGCAAGUUAAACAAUCAUUUAAAKACACACCAGGGAAAAAGUUCUUUUCUAAAUUGAAGUAAGUGACUUUUCAUCUCUUUUAGCAUCCAAAAGGAACAAUCAGCCAAUGGGGAWAACGAAAACCCAACAUAUCAUUUUACAUAAAAAGUAAUAGAUCUUAUUUUCAGCAGUCAAAAUUUUAAAAUUCCAGCAUUUCUCCCCAUAACACUGAUAACCAGCAUCUCAUCUUCAUAAAAAAGGACUUCUCUACGCCUGUGUGCUAACAGCCCAAUAAACACCACACUGGAAACUCUACUGGCUUUCC